GAUGAACGCUGGCGGCGUGCCUAAUACAUGCAAGUCGAGCGAACGGACGAGAAGCUCGCUUCUCUGAUGUUAGCGGCGGACGGGUGAGUAACACGUGGAUAACCUACCUAUAAGACUGGGAUAACUUCGGGAAACCGGAGCUAAUACCGGAUAAUAUUUUGAACCGCAUGGUUCAAAAGUGAAAGACGGUCUUGCUGUCACUUAUAGAUGGAUCCGCGCUGCAUUAGCUAGUUGGUAAGGUAACGGCUUACCAAGGCAACGAUGCAUAGCCGACCUGAGAGGGUGAUCUGCCACACUGGAACUGAGACACGGUCCAGACUCCUACGGGAGGCAGCAGUAGGGAAUCUUCCGCAAUGGGCGAAAGCCUGACGGAGCAACGCCGCGUGAGUGAUGAAGGUCUUCGGAUCGUAAAACUCUGUUAUUAGGGAAGAACAUAUGUGUAAGUAACUGUGCACAUCUUGACGGUACCUAAUCAGAAAGCCACGGCUAACUACGUG
rnacentral:rRNA from 1 species